ACACGACGCCGCCGCCGCGUUCCCCGACGGCCGAGCGGGCCGCUCCGCGGGGCGGGCGGCCGUCGGGGAAAGCGGAGGCGGUAGCGGCUAUUCCUCCGCCU
ensembl:miRNA gga-mir-6642 gga-mir-6642